AACUCCUGGCAAUGAGCAAAGAGACACCCUGUUAGUGUUGGUGUUCUUAUAUCAGUCAGGAGCAGAGCAGAUGGCAGUCCUUUGUUCAUCCUAGCUUGAUGCCUGGCCCAGUGGCAAAAGCUGUUUCAUGCCUAAGGCACAUUU
rnacentral:snoRNA from 1 species